UACGUAGGUGGCGAGCGUUGUCCGGAUUUACUGGGCGUAAAGAGCGCGCAGGCGGCUGGUCAAGUCCGAUGUGAAAGCUCCCGGCUUAACUGGGAAAUUGCAUCGGAUACUGGUCGGCUGGAAGGUGGGAGAGGGUAGCGGAAUUCCCGGUGUAGUGGUGAAAUGCGUAGAUAUCGGGAGGAACACCAGUGGCGAAAGCGGCUACCUGGACCGAUAUUGACGCUGAUGCGCGAAAGCCAGGGGAGCAAACGGG
rnacentral:rRNA from 1 species